UUCUCAGCUUCCAAGCAGCGAGGAAAUUCAGACUUGAACUGGUUAGUGUGUCAGUGCUACAGUUGCUGAUUUUUUUAUUUUUGGGUAAUGAUUGUCAGCGGUGCGGGAUAAAAACAGACCCAAAUGCAGGAUAGCUAAAAUAAGCAGGUUUAUUAAAUAAAAAAAAACACACAAAACAAGGACACCGACAAAACAAGACGCGACCAAGGACGUGACCAAGGACGAGGAUUCCGCGCCGCCACAGGCAACGCGGCACAGCUAAAUACACAUGACAAUCAACACAUAAGGAACAGGUGUGCAGAGGCGGGGAGGAAGAGACAAGGUCGGGGCAGACACAUGACACAGAACAUAAACAAAAGCACAUGGCCAAAGUCCUGGCUGGAUCCUGACAAUGAUUAUAAAUAUUAUAAUGAUUAUAAUAAAAUAUUUGUGUUUUUUUGGUAGGGAGUCAAGAACGUCCCACUGUAUUUUUCUUUUCUUUCCCUUCAGGAAAGAAUAAUUACCUAAUUAUUAGACUCAUUUUGUUCAUUAUUUGGACUAGGGCCCACCCUGAAGAGAUGCCAUUGUACCAUUCUUUGUAUGUGUUUUUUCUAAGAAUGAUAACUGGAAAUGUCACAUGUUUGUUUAAGGACUUUCUUUGAAAUGUGAUCAAUGUUGUGUAAAAAAAUGAAAAAGGUUUACUUGUGAAACAGAACCACAGUUGUAGUAGGAGAUAUUGUUGUAAUGUAGUCAAUGAUUGAGAAUGUUUUCCUUUCUGCAGUUUCUGUUUGAAACAUGCUUAUAAAAUCUCAAUGUAAUGAAUGAUCUGGUCCGUUCCUUUUUCAUGCUACAUGAGGAGCGUUGGGUCCAGUUGCACAGCAGCACAAAUAAAUUGUGAACCUCUUUACUCUU